UACUCAGUUAUCUUCCUUGGUUGCAUUAUCAGUUUUUCCUGUCUGACAGACCUGGAGCUGCUCUGUAAUAUAUUCACAAUACUGCAUGUGUCUGUGUGCUGGUUAUUGAGAAAGUUACUGUAUAAAUAUGUUGGUUAAGUUUAAUUGUGGGCUGUUGGAAAACCAAGCAGGAAGUGUAGCAGUAGCUCAAGACUGGUCCCCAUUUAACAGCACUUAAGGGACAAUGCAAGAGCUAUUCAAUCUGAUAUUCUGUCUCUGAUCCCCUGCUGAGUUCUCUGGAGUAGUUUUUCAAAGUGUGCAUGGCUGGGCAUGUGGGGGGAGAACUUGUGAGAGAACAAAGAUCCUGAAUGGAUUUUAGAAAGACUUGCAUCCUCAAGCAGGAGAUACACAUAUAAGGGAAAGACUGAGGCUUAGCCUACACAACAGAACUUUAAAAAUAGUAGUUACAUUAGAGCAGCAAAGAUCCCUCCAGUAGAUGCAGAUCUGCUGUUAGAAGGCAUUUUUCUUCUUCCUACAUUACAUGCGCCCCCCUGAACAGCAGAAACCUUGCUAGGAGAAGCCUUCUUCUGCUGGCAGACUGUGUCAACAUUGGGAGUUUUGCCAGCAUAGCUACAUUAGUGACAGGGGGAGAUAUUUUCAGACCCUGAGCCACUGUAGCUAUGGUGGCAGAGACAAGGUCUGCUGCACAAAGCCCUAGUUAAAAAUGACUGGAAAAAUGAGGUUUCAACCAAAGAAUGGCAGGACUGUAGGGGAGAGGUAUGUGCAUGCAUUUCACUGAUGCUAUGCUUUAUUGCUGUUGAUAGGACUAAACAAUGCAGUAGUUGAAGAUCCAGCUCACUAGUCACCACUGUUCACAGAUUCAUGAACAUCUGCAGCGGCCUUUGUGUCAGCAGAGAAGAUAGAGGAUUAGAAAACACAGGAAAAGUCCUUUCAAAAGAAGCCACAGGAAAGCCAUCAAGAGAAGAGUUGAACUAAGUGCAUCUGGGUGGUAACCAGCCAUCAGUCUGGCUAACACCAAGAUGUGCGCAAGUAAUUGGUGUGAACUGCAGUUGGAGAUAUGCAUGAAUUUCAAAAAGAGAAGACCUACCUUAUGGAUGUAGUCAUGGAGUACUUCCACAUCUGUUAACUUCACUGGUGCACUCUACAUCCAGCAAAAGCAAAACAAACUAUACACUGUAUAAGUUAUGCAAACAAAGUAUACCUGUUCUGACCUCAAACAAUGAAUACAAUUACUUGUUUCAAAGGUGACUAAUAUUAUUUAAAAUAAAAACAUGGUUUUCUAACAGA